GGCGUAUGUUGCCGCAGCAACUAACUCUCGGUUGCGCUGAACCUGCUACCUGAAACGGAAAAUCCAGAGUUUCCACUAACUCAGAGCGAACAAACUCGGGGUUGCCUCAAAACCAGCUACCUGAAACAGGCCUCCGUUCACAGAACACAAGCUCGUUUACCUUGUGUCUCUGUUAGAAUAAACCAUCUGAGGAACAUUAACCACUCUCCGAGUCAUACCUAGCCCGAGACGACCAUACCACAAAGGAUCGAAUUUGGAGUCGGAAUGAAGUUGAUUUUUUUAUUCAUUCCAGCCUUAUUUACCGUUGGUGUAUUUGGUGACCCGUGCAAAGUCACCCAUCAGGGCAAAGCAACGAGGUACAACAUCUCAAAUCCUAAGAGCAAUCCAACGUGUGAUUACAGCUGGGCUGAUUCUAAUGGCACUGUACUGGCAACUGAUGCCAAACCCAAUAAUGGAAGUAUAUCCUCAUCUCACUCCUCUCUCACUUUGCUUGGAUGCCGGAAGAACGUUUGUGUUGAAACUAUUGGCCAUCCGAAGCACUACGAUCCAAUCUGCUGCCUUGCUGACUGCACUGCUGCACCAGAACCUCAAGAACGCAUUGACCCCAUAAUCAACAGCCCCCCACCUCUGGCUGUAUUCUUGACACGGGAGGUCGCUGGAGUGAUUAAGGGGGGGUCAUUUUGGUGGUCAUUGCGGCGGUCUGGUGCAGAAAGAAAAUAAACAGGUAUUGCAUGCAACAUUUUUGAUUACAGUAAACUGUCCUUUGAUUACAGUCAACUGUCAACUGUUACUGUCCUCAUUGUUGCAGCCAGUAAUUAUGAACCUUCUUCACCAAAAUUAAUCCAUGUGCAAUUCAGUAAUACACUGUUGGCUACACAUUAUUUUCACUUAGAUCGCCACAUUUUGUCGCUCUUUACUGUGAAUCUAAUGUGUGUGUUUGUAAGCCUACAUGUAUUCUUCUGGAUGUUCAGUGUGGUUGUUUGAAACCCAUAUAUAAGGGGUCGAACAAUAUUAUGGUGCUCUUGUGCAUUGAAGACUGAAGAGUUAACGUGAAUAAGUGAGAGUGGACACAUUAAAUACUUCCAAAAAGUGUACCUAUCAGUGGCGGAACAUCUUUACACACAAUAAAUAAUACUGCCUGCCAAGAUUGUUUUCGGGAUUUAAUUUCACAGGUUUUCUUUUUUUAGAUUUUGACUCCCACCAUGAUCAAAUAGUAACUAAAAUCACAGGUAUAUAAACAUAAAUGUCGACUUCAACAUUACCUUUAGAGAUUGUUAUACUGGCGGUUCGAGGACACGCUGACUAAAGUAUGUCUGGGCCGAUGCCCUUUGGUGAGAAACCCAUUUCGCCGAUAGUGAUUGGGCCAGCCCAGUGUCAAUCGUGUCGCUGAUCAACUGGCUUUAUGGGCCACUCAGACCAAUAUAUAAAAAUAAAAAGUAACAGGUGUUCUGCCAACUAAACUGUCUCUUUGUUAGUACCUUGUUUCACUGAAUGUUUCUAUUUCACUUUAUGUAUGAGGUGUGUACUGUAUUCUGUUAUGCUCAAAAUCUUGAAAAUAAAUCUUAUAUAAAAACAAGAAAACACCAGAUGCUUCCUCAUUUUAAGUGUCUGGUCUGGUAUGUUGAUCCAAUAUAUAGUAAGAUAGUCCCGUUAGUC